GAUGAACGCUGGCGGCGUGCCUAAUACAUGCAAGUCGAGCGAAUGGAUUAAGAGCUUGCUCUUAUGAAGUUAGCGGCGGACGGGUGAGUAACACGUGGGUAACCUGCCCAUAAGACUGGGAUAACUCCGGGAAACCGGGGCUAAUACCGGAUAACAUUUUGAACCGCAUGGUUCGAAAUUGAAAGGCGGCUUCGGCUGUCACUUAUGGAUGGACCCGCGUCGCAUUAGCUAGUUGGUGAGGUAACGGCUAACCAAGGCAACGAUGCGUAGCCGACCUGAGGGGGUGAUCGGCCACACUGGGACUUAGACACGGCCCAGACUCCUACGGGAGGCAGCAGUAGGGAAUCUUCCGCAAUGGACGAAAGUCUGACGGAGCAACGCCGCGUGAGUGAUGAAGGCUUUCGGGUCGUAAAACUCUGUUGUUAGGGAGGAACAAGUGCUAGUUGAAUAAGCUGGCACCUUGACGGUACCUAACCAGAAAGCCACGGCUAACUACGUGCCAGCCGCCGCAGUAA
rnacentral:rRNA from 1 species